GGCGAACGCUGGCGGCGUGCUUAACACAUGCAAGUCGAACGGAAAGGCCUUUUCGGAGGUACUCGAGUGGCGAACGGGUGAGUAACACGUGGGUGAUCUGCCCUGCACUCUGGGAUAAGCCUGGGAAACUGGGUCUAAUACCGGAUAGGACCGCACUUUAGUGUGUGUGGUUGAAAGUUUUUUCGGUGUAGGAUGAGCCCGCGGCCUAUCAGCUUGUUGGUGGGGUAAUGGCCUACCAAGGCGGCGACGGGUAGCCGGACUGAGAGGUUGGUCGGCCACAUUGGGACUGAGAUACGGCCCAGACUCCUACGGGAGGCAGCAGUGGGGAAUAUUGCACAAUGGGCGCAAGCCUGAUGCAGCGACGCCGCGUGGGGGAUGACGGCCUUCGGGUUGUAAACUCCUUUCGCCAGGGACGAAGCGUUUUGUGACGGUACCUGGAGAAGAAGCACCGGCUAACUACGUG
rnacentral:rRNA from 1 species